rnacentral:misc_RNA from 1 species
AUGGGCAAACGAACAUCCACCAAUCAUCCACCAUUGUUUUUCUUUGAUGAUCAGUUACCUCCACACCCACCGGAUCUUUUCCCCAGAAAUAAGGAUUGAUCAUGGCAAUUCCUUCAAUCUUCAGCUCUCGACCCAGUUCAGAGUCUUUAAUCCUCAAGCCAAAGUGAUGUGCCAUGUUAGCACCGCAGCUAUCUCCUGCUAAGAACACCUUCCCAUAGUCUGCAUAAUCAACGAGCCAUGGCUCGUGCCUGCCAGUACUUUCCCUGGCAUGAGAAACCACCCACUCAAGUGCAGCCCAUGAGUCCUCGUAAGCACCAGGAAGAGGGGUCUCAGGGGCUAACCUGUAGUUGACUGAUACGAGUAUGACAUUAGCCACAGCAACUAUUUUGUUGAGGCUGUGAUGGUAAUAGGGAUCAGCAGUUGAAGAUAAGUAAAAUCCUCCACCAUGAUAAUAAAUUACAAGAGGAAGUUUCUGAUUAGAUUUUGUUGAAUUGGGAAGAUAGAGUCUAGCUGAGACACCAGUUUCUGGAAUAAUCAUGGUGUCCUUAGAUAGAACACCAGUCUCAGGAUCUAAGCCUGCAGGAGCAAUACCUGUUCCAGCAACUCUCUCGAUUGUUCCAUCUUUGUACACCCUAACGUAAGGGAAGAUGAUACGAGAUAAUUCUGCUCUACUUUCCAUCUCUGAAAGUAGAAAACAGAGGAGAGGAUUGAA